CUGUGUUGAGAUUUUUUUAUUGUUGGAUUGUUAUUUUCUGUUCUCUAAGUUAAAUAUAUUUGAAAAAAGGUACAAGAAAUUUAUGCAUUGAUACAACAUGAGCAUGACCAAUAGAUGCAUGUAUAGAUGGAAUGGUAAGGAGUGUUUGUACCAUUUAGACAAGAUUAUUUUUGGUCUUGCUUACCUACAAUAAGCUCAGUUGAGUAAUCUUGAUUUUUUCAGUCGAAUUUGAAUGAAUGGAAGAGUUAUCAAUUGACAAGCCUGGCCAAGCUAAUGAAAAUGCUGCAAUACUUGGGUUAUUGGUUUCACGGAAAUAGUUGAUUGGCAAUACACAAAGCACAAGUAAAGCAUCACGUUGGCUGCAUCUUAGAGAGGGUAGCUGGAGGUAUUUUCAACUUGGUAGCAACAGCCCGCAUAGGCAAUCAGCCUUGAUGUAAUGGAUGGGGACGGUUGCACCGACCUGGAGACAGUAAAAGGAGGCAUUUGGGCAUGCUGAUGCAAUUUUCUAGGGAAUGCAUAGAACAAAGAUUGAUAAUUUGGAAUCCAUUGCUGGAGCGGGGAUCAUGCUCAGGAAACCAGUUGCAGAUUGCUGCAAAUGACAGUUGCAAACGUGCGGUGCUUAAGCUACCUACGGCAGCUGGUGUAUUUCCAGACACGAUCUAUUCAGCUUAGAUUAGAUAACUGCUACACUGUAUGUGUUUUUUAAUAACAGUUGAUUCCAUCUUAUGCCAUCUCAAUAGUUUUCUCAAUAGUUUUCUUUUUGUACAUCGUGUUGCCAUGUGUGGCUGUAACCAAUGUAGUGAAGACUAUCCUUUGUCUCAUCUAUCCUUAAUUAUUUCUAACUGUUUUAACCAA